rnacentral:lncRNA from 1 species
AGCGCCGGACAAAGUUGCCGACCUGGCGGCGGCCACGCGUUUGCGUGCGUGUGUAUGAGUGUGUGUGAGCGCGGCCGGAGAUGCGUGCGCGUGUGCGGGUGCUCCAGGGCAAUGGUCGAAAGGACUGUACAAUAUAAGAGCGAAUCCAAGCUCCAGUUGCUGUUAAAGGGGGACGGUGUGCUCUGGGACAGUGUCCCUGGGGCCCCUGGCUCGCGUCACACCCACAUCGGGUUGGGAAAGUUUCCUCUUUCCGCCGUUUGGAAUUCAGUGAGAUUCCCAGCCCAGAGGACUUGAUAAAUUGAAGCAGUUUCCUAGGCACAAUGAUGCUGUGGGCCAACUGAGCACACAUGGGAAUUCCUGGCCUUGUGACACUUUGCAUUAAAAAGAACCCCACGAUUGAAGAUAGGAGCAGAAGCACUAGAUACAGUAUUUGGUCUGAGCAACUGCC